UGCCUCGUCGUGUGAUGUUUAUUUACUUAUGCACUUUUCCCAACCAGCUGAGACGAUGUGUCAUCACUGUCAUCGUAGCUAGCACUCUGCAAUUCCAUGUUUUCCAAGCACCAGUUUGAUUUUUACAUAAUAAUUAUUUCACAAAAAAAUUGGGUGGGGAACUGCAAGUAGGCUGUAAUUUAUAGUUUCUUGGAAACUUGACAGGAGCUAUAAAUAAGUCACGUAUUAAUUACAAUGCAGGCCGAAAUUGAGGAAGCGGUGAAACACUUGGAAAAUUUUGACUUUGUCGCCGACAUCGACAAAGUGCGGAUGAAGGCGUUGAUGAAUCCAGUCAUUUUGGACAAAAUAUUUAGCACCUUGGAUGCACCAGCUUUAAAAUCUGCCCGACUCGUGUGCACUGUUUGGGCUGAGGUGGCCGCCUCGUUUCUUGGGAACCUGACUUGCCUGCCUUUUUCAACAACGCAUAACCAUUAUCGCACAAAAUGCGAAGAUUUGACCAUAUUCAACCACAAACUCGCCAAGAAUGUAAAAUUGUACAUGAUGUGUAAAUGCUCCUGCAGUUGUCGCUGUUCUCCCAUCGAAGUGGAGUAACUCAAAGUGUGUACACAAGAAUUUUCAUCCAAAUUCUCAAUCGCAACCUGCCACCUAAUUUUGCUCUACGUUUGCCUGAAAUUUCUGCCGUACUGGAAACAAUCGAUAUCAACGUGGAAAGUCCUUUUAAACCGAAUCUGCACAAAAUGUGGAGCACUAUUACUUUCCCUAACCUCACCCUCAUCUCAUUUACCAUCAAGAAAGUGGAUACCAAUCAUGACGUGACUGCACAUGAAGAUGAGAUGCCUCAGGAAUUUCGACCCCUUCCAAAUCUAAAAGUACUUUCGAUAAAGCAUGAGCCAUUUGAUAAAGCCUCAACGGACGCGCCAUCCAGUUACCAAGGGCUGUUGAGCUCUGCUCCAAACCUGGAAGAAUUAAAUCUGUCCGCGAAUUCCUACCCAGAUUUGACCCAGUGUCUAAAACUUAAAAAGUUGAGGUACGGGUACCAGCGACGUCGUUUCGCGGGAGAGGGACAAUUGCAAUCCGACAUUUCCGAACUGACUAGAAUGCUGGAAAAUUGCCGAAAUUCUUUGGAAGAGUUUACUUUGGAUUAUCAAGGUUAUCGUGACCUGUCGCCUAUUAAGGUCAGUUACAUAAAUCGGAUGGCAGGUUAAAUAAAUUUCUUUACGUAUACUUAUUUCCUACCAAUAAUUUGGUUUGUAUUUUGUAAGCUGAAUUUCGACUUCCUGAAUCUCACCCGCCUCUCAAUCAACGAUCCCGUUAUGUUCAACAUUGAGGAUUCGCUGAACAUGACCAACCUCCCUAGACUGACGCAUUUCUCGAUUAAGGGUAAUUAACAGAGUUACCCAAUUUCGGCCAUGACUAAAACUUUGCAUACACGCCACGUUGGGAUAACAUCGCUCCACGUGCGUGCCCGUCACUGCUCGAACAGUUGGAGCCAGGAUGGUCAAGCGGCUGUCAAACUGGUCAACCUUUUCCCGGCCGUGCAGGAAUUAAAAUUGUGGUUGUCCGUCGAGUUCGUCCGAAAUGGUGACGAAAUGGCAGAUUUUCGCCCUUUGAAAGAAACGAUGCAAUCCUUCGGUGAGUGGGAGUUGACCAGGGGGAAAGUCGUCGUGGGAAGUCUUCCCGUAUCUGUAGAUGAGAAUGAAUUUCAUUAUUAUUCGGAUGACUUGUGGGAUCCAAGUUUGAACAUUGAUUCCGACGUCGUGUUGACCGUGUUGGAAGGAAUGAGUGAAUGGAAAGGUUUGGAGAACUCGUCACUUGAAUUUUAUGCAAAUUGCAACGGUGCAAGUUUGGAACCAUCCGACCGGUUGCGGGAGGCCUUCUUGUCAUGCAGCAGAAUUCAAAGUAUUACUUUGGAAGAAUUAAAGCCUGCCGACCAGAUGACGAAGGAGGAUUUUAAUGAAUUUUUCCAACAAAAUAAGUUGCCCGUUAGUUUCACGGAUCGUCCAUAGCCAGUUUAAACAGUGGCAUUCUGGCAGUGGUUCUGAAUUUUGU